GGAGGAAAAGAAACCAACAGGGAUUGCUCUAGUAACGGCGAGUGAACAAGCAAAAGCUCAGUUUUGAAAGCCUACUUUGUAGGCAUUGUAUUCUGAAGCCUAGAUUCUGGGAAACGGUGUUUAAGUCUUCUGGAAAGGAGCGCCACGGAGGGUGAUAGCCCCGUACGGCACUGACCCCAUUGUAGUUUCUAGGCGUGGAGUCGAGUUGUUUGGGAAUGCAGCUCAAAUGGGAGGUAUGCUCCUUCUAAAGCUAAAUAUUUGCGAGAGACCGAUAGCGAACAAGUACUGUGAAGGAAAGAUGAAAAGAACUUUGAAAAGAGAGUGAAAUAGGACGUGAAAUUGUUGAAAUGGAAGGGUAGGCUGCUAACCAUGUAGGACCGUGUCUGAGGGGAAGAUAAAAGCUACGGAAUGUGACUCUUCGGAGUGUUAUAGCCGUGGUCAAUGUUCCCACUUAGGCGCGAGG
rnacentral:rRNA from 1 species